AUGCCUCACCUGCUGCCAGGACUCAGCCCAAACUGUGGAUAAGCAGGACACUGGGGAGUUGGUUGCUCACGUUGCCUAGACAAAGUAAGGUCAACCUCCCCCCAACCCUCAUGUUCCUCUUCCACAAGAGCCUCUCCUUGGUGGCUGAGGACUGAUGUCCCCAAUGCCACGGAGAACACAGGAGCCUGGGAUGAUUGUAUAGGUAACAACUAUGUACUAGUCUCUGUCAGUGACACAUAGGCCAUUCAGAUUGUACUCCUUGCUAUGAUUUAUCCUUCUCAGGUCUCUGAUGGUGUUGACAACCAGGCCACUGAAGCUUUGUCAGCUCAGCAGCACAGCUCCUCCCGCCAGGGCUGCAGCUAACGUGUUAAUUCAUUCAAAACUACUAGGUCUCUUGUUAAGAAAAGGCAGGCAGGUGUGCUUUGCGCUUCAAGUCAGAGCAAAGCAGGUUUCAGGUGUGACUUUCCACUGAGGAAACAUGUUUCCAUAAUGUCUCAGCAGUGACUACUUGCUUCUCUCUCUGGUAAAUGAUUAGACGGAAAGAAAAAGGUUUAGAGUCCAUGCGAGCUCUGCGGGUCUAAGAAACUGUCCUAUGGCAUUUAAAGGUCUGAAAAUAUAAAAGUCUAAGAUCCCGAGGGCCCUCAGAAAAUAAUUUAAGAUGUAUAAAUACAAGUUGUAAAGGUAUAAACAAUUGGUUGGGGAUUUAGCUCAGUGGUAGAGCGCUUGCCUAGCAAACGCAAGGCCCUGGGUUCGGUCCCCAGUUCCGAAAAAAAGAAAAAAGAAAAAAAAGGAAAAAAAAAAGGUAUAAACAAUUAUUUAAAGUUUAUAAAAAUGGGGGGGGGAUUUCAGAUUUCUUUCCCUGUCUAUGCCACUGUAAUACUAAGAUUUCAAAAGUUCCAAGUUUUAACACUGACCAGUGGAAUCCUGCUAGGCUGGUAGAGCGCAGACUACUUACUAUUCAAUUGCAAGCUCGAGAUUUUAAGUUUCCUCUGGUCGUCUUCUAAAUAUAGACUUAAAGAUGCUUCUCAUUGGACUAAAAACAUAUAUCCACCUCUCUGGACAAAGGAAUACAUCGUUCAAACUUUUUAACCCAAAGGGUUUUUUUGUUUUGUUUUUUGUUUGUUGUUUGUUUUUUGGCUAGGAAUCAAAGGCAUGAGUCUACUCCAGCUAUGUUACAAUGUGGGUAUCUUCGUUUGGGUUUCCAUUGUUGUAAACUGACACCAUGACCAAGACAACUCUUAAUAAGGACAACAUUUAAUUGAGGCUGGGUUACAGGUUCAGAGGUUCAGUCCAUUAUCACCAAGGCAGGAGCAUGGCAGAAUUCAGGCAGGCAUGGUGCAGGAGGAGCUGAGAGUUCUACAUCUUCAUCUGAAGGCAGCCAGAAGACUAACUCUUCAGGCAGCUAGGAGGCAGCUUUCUCAAAGCCCACCCCCACAGUGGCACACGUCCCUCGGCGAGGCUACACCUACUCUGAAAAGGCCACACUCAUUAAUAGUGCCACCCUCUGGCCCAUGCGUAUUGAAACUACCACAAGUGGUAAUGCUAAUAUAGCUAGAAACUUUUAUCUUUUUGUAAAAAUUCAUGUAAGCUUCAGGGAGUCAUAAGACCUGGAUCUACCUGUCACAGGUCAAAUGGACUCCAGAUAAGUGCAGCCUCAGUUUCCCCACCUGUCUAGUCCCGAAAGGAUGGAAUCUCUCCCCUGGCCUUGAGACUCCUCCCCUUCGUCAAUUACUAGAACUAUGGGCCUGAAAGUUCCAAAUGUAGAGUUUUCUUUUAAGUCCCUAAGUUUUAACUUUACCCUAGUCUAUAUUGUCUCAGUAGAUUUCCACUUGGCUGAGAGAAAUCAUUCAGGGAUCACCUGUGGACUGCAAACUGCUGCGCUCUGGGCUUGGCUGAAAGUCUCUGGAAACCAUCUAGCCUAUGUGGUUGGCCCCUGUCUCUUCAGCUGGAUCAGCUAACCAGAUUCUUCUGGAGAAUGCCCCAUUGUCUGAAACCCUUCCCAGCCUUUCACUAGCUUCCAGCCUUCCCGAGUCCUGAAAACUAUGCCCUAGUUUCAGCUGGAAGUAGUUACAAAGGAGAGAAUGCCUUGCACACCCUCCCCCACCCCCACACUCCAGCAGGCUGAAAUGCUAAGUCAAAGGGAAACGCCCUGGCAGAGGGGACAAAAUGGCCCACAGUGUAAAUCGACACACCAGGAAAGCGGGCCCAGACUUAUCAACUGGUAGAUUCACUGACUGAAACAGUUCUACACUAGGAUUCGGCACUUGGCCUGGUUUAUGCAGAAUGAAGAGGUGGUAUGUGGCUUUAAGAGAAAAUUGUUAUUUCUGUACGAGCCUGUAGUAGGUUGUACAGGGUUAUUCCUGAUUGGUUGAAUAAAGAUGCCUACAGCCUAUAGCUGGGCAGAAUUGAGAUAGGCGGGGUUUAGGGUUUUUGGGGGCUUGGGGUCUGGGGAUAACCACAAGGAGGAGAGAGAGGGUUGGAGAGAGGAGAAGAUACCAUGGGUAAGAAUCUUGAAAUUAGGGCAAUGAAGGCUGGCCAGUUGGAGCUAAGAGCAGCCCAGACGGUGGAACAUGACAAAUCCUGUUGUGGAGUUAUGGCCGGGAAAUAGACAUAAUAGAUGGAAGAUAGAUAACUAGUGCUGACUAAGGCCUACGGAGGUUGUAUGAGUCUUUUAUCUGGGAACUGAAUGGCUGAGGCAGGGUAGAAACCCCAGAUUGAGACUAAAUAUUUUCUACAACACAAUCCAUUUGGGAUUUUAAUCUUGUACACUAAAAUUACAUAAGAGACUUGAGAUGACUGGUGCCACAUUUAUUUCCAGGCUCCUUCUGGGUAGUAACUCUGAUGUCAGCCAUCAUAGAUUCCUUGGUCAUUCUGCCCCUGCUGGUUACUGUUGGCUCUCACAUCACUGAUAUAAUAACCAAAUGGUAGUUCAUGUCUGGACACCAUGAAAAUGAUGGUUAUUAGAUUCCAUAUGAAUAAGUACUUAUCAUACAGUCAAGGAUUUGACCCAGGAUACAAUUUAAGGAGGGAAUUUAAGACCUAAAGUUAACCUGUGAGCUGCACUGGCCCAAGGACCAAAUAACUCCCUGGAAUGCUGGGAGAUGUAGUUCUUGAAAAACAAAGCCACAUGGGAAAAUACAAUGGCCAUAUGAUUUUGCCCUAAAAUGCCAUACAGCAUUGUCUCCACUUAGCUGGGAAUUCUAGAGGGUGGUCUUGACCAAAGUCCACCCUAAUAACUAUUUAAUUAAAGCUUACUUCGAAUUUGGUUCAAAAUUAUGGUUUUUCUCUUGUGAAUCUCAAGAUUAACACAAUUUUCUACAAAGAUAAGGUCUCUUUCCCUAAACAGUGUGCAUAUCCCUCUGGUUUAGAUCUUUGGUGAACUGUACCUUUUGGACUUGAGUAGAGGGCUCUGGAAAUCCUCUCCUUUCCUACGCAGCAAGGAUGACUUUGAACUCUUGAUUAUCAUGCCUUCUUGGCCAAAAGCUGAGAUUAUAAACUCUCGCCACCAACCUAACCUUUUGCUUUUCUUUUCUUUUUCCACAGGAUCUUGCUAUACACUCUUGGCUGGCCUACACUCCUCCUUCCCUUGCCUCUGAAGCAAUGUGAUUAUUGUUCUGUGACUGUGGCCAUCAAUACGUUCAUUUAAUUAAUGUUUUUCCCAUUGCAGUUCACCAUAACCCUUCAGGAAUCAAGCCAUUGAAACCCAGAUGCGGAAUGACUUGUCUCAGGGCACAAACCUGUGUUCGAGCAAUCCCUGAGACUUCCAGUAUGUCCCUUUAAGAGGAAGGUUUGUCCUUGGCAACUGGUACUCAGAUAGGGCUCUGGGGAAGCCCUAGGGGAAAAAAAAGGAACAAGACUGGGGGAGGGGAAGACUGGCCAGUGGGUGACUUUGAUAACCAGAGCAAGGCAGGACUAUAGGCCAAGGAUCUGUAACUUCAGCUUGACGAGAUGGGAUCUUUUGGGUCAAGAUACAAGACUUAGGGUCCACGGUAAGUGCUGUCCAUGUUUGGUCUGUGUGGCAUGGCUCCUACAUGGAGGGUUUCUCUCAUGCAUUCCUGUUCCUUUAAAUGUCUUGCUUUCUCCUGGCUGCUGGCUGUUAUUUCAAGGCAAUACAUUAACAAGUGCAAAGGAUUUUGAGGCUUGGCAUGGUUGUAAAUGCCUUAGGUCCCAGCACUUAGGAGACAGAGGUAAUUAAAUCUCUAUGAGUUCAAAGGCAGCCUAAUCUACAGAGUGUUCUAGGACAGCCAAAGCUUACAGAGACCCUGUCUGAAAAAACCCACAAAGAUAAAACUAGUUUAAAAUCUUUUGUAUGUACAAAUGGUUUGCUCGAUUGAAUAUAUGUGUAUCAUGUGUGUGCCUAGUGACUGUAGAAGUCAGGUGGUGGCUUCAGGUCCCCUGGAACUAGAAGUUGUUGUAAGCUCCAUAUAAAUGUUUGAUCCUGGGUCCUCUGCAAAAGGAACGAGUGCUCUUAACCACUGAGCUACCUCUCUAGCCCUAAAGAUAUAUUUUUUUUAAGUAAUAAUUUAGGGGCCAUCAACCUUCUUUUUGAGACCUGGAGUAUGACUUUUUAAAAGUGGACACUCAAGCCUGAAGGGGCUGAGACUGUUCAUGACGUGGCUCUUCUUGGUGACCUUGGACAGGUGGAUGUUUUCAGUCACUUCCUCUUAUUAGAAGCUGUUAACAGGGUUAGCAGGGUCCCCAGAGUUAGCCUAGGAAGAGUGCAGAGCAGGGAAGCCAUGGACUUGCAAAGGCUCUUUGCAAGACCAGCUGCCAAUCAGUGGAGUGGGUGGGUCUUUUGGGUUAUUUUUUUCUUUUACAAUGCAUGGUGUUUCCAUGUGGUCUCCCAAUCAGGCAGUCUACUGAAGUUAAACAAGGGCUUAGUGCGCAUGCUUAGAUGGUGUUUGCUGGAGUGGAGGCUGUUGCUGGGUUGUCUCUGGUCCCCUUGGGACAUCUUCAGCCAGUGGGGACAAAAUAGAUCUCUAUGGAUCAAAACGCAGCCUUGCAGUACUGGAUGGAACAUGUGACCAAGCACUGCUUAGACUGGGUCUGGACAGAUCUUAGAGAUAACAGAUACAUUUGUCUGCCACAGAUGAACAUGAGGCCUAGGGAGGCCUUAACCAAGGUCUCAGUGUCAAAUGUUCAAUCUAAAUCCAAAGGAAUUCCAGUCCAGAGGGGUUUUGUUUCUGCAUUUACUUAUUUAUUAUUGGUGUAUAUGCUAUGUAAGGUGGUGCAUGUGUGAUAGGGCACAUGUAUGGAGGUCUGAGGACAACUUUGUGGAAUUAGAAUCGUCCGUCAUUCCAGCUUUAAAGUUGGUUCCGGGGAUGAAUUCUGGUCUCAGGGUUAUAAGCAAGAACCGUGCAGCAGGGCUCCGACCUGGUAAGCAUCUCAGUGACCACAGAAGGUGUUUGUUUACAUGACCUACCCAAUCCAACCUUAGUCCUUGUUGAUACCUAGGGAGGUACUGGUGGAACUGUAGGGGGAAAAAUGUACCCUUAGCAGGUGCUGAGCUUCCCUGGGGAGAGGAGGAAGGGGAUCCGGCCUGGACUAGAUGUGAGCUGAGGAACAGUUGUCAAACGGCUGAGUAACAGAGUGACAGACAGGGUCCAGCUCUUGCAUCAAGGCUUGGAGGUUGGGACAAGUUUCAGUUGGGCAUUGCUAAAAUGGGGCCAAAGAGCUUGGCUGUUAUCCACUGAGGCUCUUCAAAGUCAGCAGCGGGGCUCACAGGAUCCCAGCAAGCCUUGGAAUUUGGCUGAGGACUGGGGUGCCAUGCGGGUCCAUAGCGCCGCCUGGUGGGCAUGUUCGCCCUGCAGCACAAACAUCUCACUAGAAAGAGGGCAGCAUUGUCCACCAGGACUUGUUCUUAGGCUCACCAGGGCAUUCCCUUCAGCAGUGUGACAGGUCUCUGCUGGGUUCUUGGUCUAUUCUAUCCAGUGUGUUUACAUUCUCUCUCUCUCUCUCUCUCUCUCUCUCUCUCUCUCUCUCUCUCUUUCUUUCUUUCUCUCUCAGCGUUACUGCCAUUAUAACCUAUUAUGUUUGAAAUGGCCUUGUUCUGUAGAUCAGGCUGGUCCAUACUUUGUGGCAAUGUUUCUGCCUCAGCCUCCCAGGUGUUGGGAUUGUGAGCAAGGCAUGUGCCCUACAGGACAGGUACCAUGUGAGGAGCAACCUGGCACAAAUUUUGUUUUGAAAGAAAACAAAACCCUGAGAAGUCGAAGCAUACCUCUUAAAUCAAACUUAGGCUUAGCGAAGCUGAUAGAGGCAGCACGACUGGCCCUGUGGUCCCUGAAGACCACCAUUGUUGUUUGAUUAGAUUUAUUUUAUAUAUGAAUACACUGUCGCUGUCUUCAAACACACCAGAAGAGGGCAUCAGAUCCCAUAGAUGGUUGUGAGCCACCAUGUGGCUGCUGGGAACUGACCUCAGGUCCUCUGGAAAAACAGAGCUCUUAGCCACUGAGCCAUCUCUCCCUCCUCUGGUCAUUGUUUUAAAGAGGCUCCUACGUGCCCCGCCUCUGUGCGGCUCCGCCCCCACACAGCUGCUCACUGUGCUCUCCUCCUCAGCUCCUUCAGUAUUUUUUCUGGUUCAGCUGCCUGGAAUGAGCUCCCUGCUCCGUCUAAGCUCUGCACCAUGUAGGUCUCAAGUAGGUACCCCAUCCUUAGAGAAGCCUCUUCAAAUCUCUUCCCAUCCUGGCUCCCUCACACACUGUGUUGUCAUCCGGCAUUAUCAUUUAAGGUUCUCCUGGUGCCUGUGUUUGUCCCCAGUUUUCCCCACAGUAUGAGUCCUGACUGGACAGGGUCUCACUUUCCCUACCAGGUACUAUUCUUGAGCACAGAGUCCAGUCCUGCUUUACAGUGGUCCUCAGGGAAAUGGCUAGGGGAUGAAGGUUCCCCAGUCUAGAGUUCAAAGGGGACACUAAGGUUGAAUGAAUUUACCCCAGAUCUGACUGGCCAUUUGUCUCAAACCCUAACGGUGUAAACCUGUUUUCUGUCAUUUUUUCCUCCAGAAGCUGGUGGCUCUACUCAGCACAGGACUGGCCUGUGCAUGACUCUGGUUUAAGGAAAGCCACAGCCAAUGGCUGUGGAAGGCUUAUCUUAGUAACCUGAAGUUUACCGAGCAUGCAAUCUGUGCCAAGCACUGUGUACCCUACAAGAAACCAGCACACUGGAAAGACUCCACACCUCAGCGAUGACAUCUGAGAAUAUGGCCCAGAUUCAAAGGCGGCUUUGCCACCUACCACCUGGAUGUUUCUCUGCCUUUGUUUCCUCUUGUGUAAUGGGUCCAAUCCCCACCCUUGGGCUGUUGGGAAAGAAUUGCCACAGGUCUGGCCUGCUGGAUUUUGCAUACAGCCAGCUAGGCUGCACAGCUGGGAAUACCAGGGAAGUCUCCAGAAAGUUGACCAGCAACCACAGUGCUUGUUCAGCGCCAGAGAUAAAACUAGAGGCAAACACUUGCUGCUUCAUGAGGUCAGAUGCCCCUCACAGGAGCACUGUCCCUGGAGUCCAGCUGUGGCUUGUUGACUGUCGCACUCCCUCACAGGAGGGUUGGGAAGGGGCCACUGGACACUCUGCAGAGCACUCACUCUUCCCGGCUGAGUGGAAUUCUGCUCUCAUUGUGACCUUGGGGUCUUGGGAGUAUGUAGGCUUUGAAGGACUAAAAGCGGGGGCUCCCCAUCUAUGCCGUGAUGGGAAAGCCAGCGAGCAUGCUGGGGGUGUGUGUGGCUGCUUAGGGCCAUUACACUGCUCUCUGUAACACCCAUGGCUCUAUGAACAGCCUGAUAAUAAACUCAAUCUCCAGGGUGACCUUUGGUAGAAUGGAAUUUUGGUUUGUCACUGGGACCUUAUAAGGAGAGGUCAAGACAUUGCUUGGUCUCCCAUCAAGGUGAAAAUUCUUGCAACUGUACUAAUGCUCCUGGGGGAACAUCUUAGAAUAUGAAGCUAUUCUAUUACCAGUCGCAAGCCAAACUGGGGCAACUCACACACCCCUAAAGGUAGCUUCAACCUCAUGGUGAUCCUCUGCCUUCUGCCCGGUUAUAUUCCCUUGGGCCCUUUCUCUACCUUCGUAGACUGAUGGUGAGAACCACACACCUUUCUUCACUGCCCUCCUCAUCCACAAGCCUUUCAACUAAGCAAAGGCAGACGGUUAAUCUCAGAGGGAGACAAAUGGAGAAGCCUGGGGUUGCUUCCUGCCAGGAUUCAAGCAACUCACUAGAGCAGCAGGCAGAAAUGAGUUUAUUGCAUUAGAAAAAACACCAAUGAAAACCAGCAACACCUCCGUGUUAGACAUAAUUAGUCAGACUUCAAGGAAGUCACGAAAGAAUCUCAGAGAAACACUUCAGUCUGGGAAAGUAUGAUGGCCUCAUGCCUCCACUUCCCUUGUCCCUUGACUAACUGACCAACAGACAGGAGUGUCCAACAUGUGACACGAACCACACAACUCCUUUUCCUCUCAGCUUCAUGGUGCAUGCCCAGGUGGAGUCCCUCCUGAGAGUCUGGCAGGGAAAUGUACAGGUGGGAUCUGGGGUUCCUGGCCUGGGGCUCUGGUGACACUGGACUUGCACAGGGGAGAACAGCUUGCCUUUCUGCUGAGGCCAGAGACUGUCCAGUCUUCCUAUCUCUCCUAGCCAUGGCCACAGACUCUGGCAUGGAUGGCUGCUAGACGUGACAGGAGAGAAGUCAAGCAAUUAAGUGACUAAAGUCCUCAGGCAAACUUCUCAGAAUAUCAUGGUUAUUGUACUGCUAUGAGGAGAAAACCAGAGAAUAGCCAUGUGACCGCACCCUUAGGACAGAGGUGAGAGCGCUGGGCAGAGAUGCUACCAGCUAGGGCCAGGCAAGUGAAAAAGUGAUGGCUUCCAGCAACCUCUACCUUCCCGGAUGCCAAGCUUUGAACACUCACCCUUCUGAGCCCCACUGUGGCAACUGGGCCAACACUGAACAAUCCCUGUUGGUUUCCGCUUUCCUUUGUAAUAGCCACACAUGCCUGCACACUGUUGAGUCUCGAGACCCAUUUGGCUGUGACCUUUCAGUUCCAAAACGUCACUUGCCAUCCUAGGUGGGCAAAGCCCUGGCCAGGCAAAAGGCCAGCUUUGAGGCAGAGCUCUCCACGGCGCCUACUGCUAUGGCUAGUGGCAAAGACUGCAGGAUGUGGGCAAGUGUGAGCCAACAGGAGCUCUUAGGGAGGAAAGGCCUGCCCCAGAAGGAACACCUGAGCUCAAGUUUCAGAAGUGGCAGGGAGCCAUCCAUGGUGGGGGGCUCCCCAUGGAUGUGGAGUCUCAGGUGCCUUCUCUGAGCUCCCUUCUCCUUAUCCAGUUCCCCACAUUAGCUAGUAGAAAGCUGACACCAAGGAAGGGAACCUUGAGGUUUCUCUGGAAUCGAGAGUCUAGAUCGUAGACUUCUAGGCUAUUCCUGCCUAUGAAAUCCUAGCAGCAUAUCAUUAGGGAAACACCCACUCACACCCCAACCACACCCCAAAAGGUCAGAAUGACAAUGGAGAUAGCGUCUGUUCAAGACACAUUAAGGAUAAUGUGAAGUCCCUAUUGGAGACAACUCUAAAUUUUCUUCCCACCAUGAAUCUACAUCAUUACAGUAUUCUUUCUACAUCAGAGACAUGUUUUAGGAGAACAAUCGAGUCCCCUCAACCUAGCUGACAAAUCCAUACUGGUUUGAGUGGCUGGCUCUACUGACUAUAAAUAACUGACGUAAUUAUUCUCAAACAGAAGGCCUGGGUCUCUGCUGCUGCAGCCUAGACCUUUAUUAAAGGUGACAGGUCAAGCUAUGCUGAGGAAGAGCAGCUUAGGGGUGGGCAUCGAGGAUUGGCACUCACAGGAGGAUGAAUGGCUUUCUCCUGUUUUCUCUGGCCUCACCCCUGCUGCCAGUCUCCUUUGAUCCUGUUGCUCUGGCUGCUCCGGCUGUGACGGGUGGCCUUGUCUCAGGAGGAGGGGUAAACUUGUGGUUAAAGAGUUCACUUAGGUUGAGUUAGGAGCCUACAGCUGGCCCCACGUACUCCAAGUCCUUUGGUUCGUUUACGGCUAGAGGGUGACAGCUUCAGGAGAAUGGACAGUACAGAACUCACCUGGGUCCCACAGGCGUGGCGACCUGGGUGGAAUGUCGGCGUUCUCUGGAAAGAGGGUCCAAGGUCGGGUUCUCCCAGACUGUGACUCUUGCUUCUCUUUUAAAAAGCACCCUCUCUCUUCAGUGUGGAGGACGUGUAGGCAACAGCGUCAAAAGUGAACUCACAGACAAGACAGCCUUAAUAAAUUAGUGUAAUACUAUUAGAAGGGAUGGCUUUGUUCUCUUUCUCAGGAGCGUUGUUCUACAUGCGGCCUGAUGAGCUCCUUCCC